AUAUACUAAAGCGGAUGCUCGUGUCUUUUGGUCUCCUAAUUUGGCCGUAGGCAAGCACUGGAUCCCCAAUUUCAUCAUUCCCGCGCAGCAGCCCUCAAUGUUUUCCUCCGUUGCAUUUUCUCCUGUGCCCUAAAUAGCAUUUGCUCUCUGGUUGUACAGAGCUUCUCUCUACGGUCUCUCUUCAACCGCGAAGCUUGUCAUCUGUGAAGGUUUCUUUAAGCACAAAACAUAUCUGCGAAGGUGUCCUCCUUUACUCUGAACCGCGAAGGUCUCUCCGUCAACUACAAAGGAAUCUCUCCUCACCGAUCUGCCAAGUUCUCUCCCUCAAAUUUUCAACAAAACAUAUCUGGGAAGUAGGGCUUUUCUGUAAAGCAUGCAUUCUCUCACAACGGAACUGCUGGGUGAAGGCCACACAAUGGACCAAAUCUACAAAGGUAGAAAGAAGUACAUUGUCAACCCUCGAGCAGAAAAGGUUAUUAAGUUAGAAAGUAACCUGAAGAAUAUGUAGGCACGCUUGGAGGACUAUGACCAGCAAAUGGUGAGGAUGACAGAUAGAGAAGAGUGCACGGAGAACAUCAUAAAGCACUAUGAACAGAUGCUGCACCAGUAAACUCGCUCAAAUACUAUGGUGAGUGGCUUUUACUUGAUAAUUAACUUUUAAUUUUAAGUUGAAAUUUAAAUAUGGCAGCAAUACCUUGCAGCGGUAGUUUCGGACAAUGUUUAUGAUGGAUAUUUUGUUUUUUAGUGAACUUGAAGACAACUUUUGAUGAAUAUAUUGUUGGAAUGAUGAUUAAAAGUACAUAGUAAUAGAUAGCAUGGUAGAUGAUUAUUUUAA